AGGUUCAUUUGUAUUACGUUAAUACACCAGUUCUCUUCCGAUCAUUGAAGUUAAGCAACGUUGAGCGUAGAUAGUACUUGGAUGGGUGGUUGCUUUGCAAACAUGUUUGAAACCUC
rnacentral:rRNA from 1 species